rnacentral:rRNA from 1 species
AUUGAACGCUGGCGGCAGGCCUAACACAUGCAAGUCGAGCGAGCGGCGGACGGGUGAGUAAUGUCUGGGGACUGCCCGAUAGAGGGGGAUAACUACUGGAAACGGUGGCUAAUACCGCAUACUAUCGGAUAACCCAUAUGGGAUUAGCUAGUAGGUGGGGUAAAGGCUCACCUAGGCGACGAUCCCUAGCUGGUCUGAGAGGAUGAUCAGCCACAAUGGGACGGAGACACUGCCCAGACUCCUACGGAGGCAGCAGUGGGGAAUAUUGCACAAUGGGCGCAAGCCUGAUGCAGCCAUGCCGCGUGUAUGAAGAAGGCCUUAGGGUUGUAAAGUACUGGCAGCGGGGAGGCGUUACCCGCAGAAGAAGUACCGGCUAACUCCGGGCCAGCAGCCGCGGUAAUUC